UAGACAGAAGCCAAUUGGUUUAGGCAUCCAGCUGUUAACUAGAGUUUUGUGGGAUCGAAGCCCAUCUGUCUAG
rnacentral:tRNA from 1 species